UAGCAAACUAGAGAGAAAAUAGUUCUGAGAAAUUUAAACGUGAAACACUAAGAAUAAUCUCUUCGAUUGAACCAGUAAAGCCACGCAUUUUUUUAUAUAAAUAUUUUUUUUUCUCAAAUUUUUUCCCGUUAAAACAUUGGCAACAAAAAAAGAAGUGUAAAAAUCAGUUGAAAAUUAGAUUUUUGUGAGUGAAAAAAAUUAAAAAUAAUACGAAAAAUAUUACGAGAAAGGAAGACACAGAGAGAGAAAGCAAAGAAGUGAAGAGGCAACAUAUAUAGGCAACGAGAAAUAUAGAGAGAGAAAAGAGACAACCAAACAGCCACAUUAUAAUUUUCAUCAAUCAAAGUAUGCUCUGUUUGAUUUUACUGUCUUAUAUUUCCAUUGCAAAUUGAUUGAAAAAGAAGAAGGCCCCCAAAUCCUGUAGCAUCAACGCAGUUUUGUCAGCGGUUUGUGCGAUUGAAAAUUCUUAACAACAACAACAACGCGGUGUCAUUUUCAUGCCAAACAAAAGGUGUGCGGAAAAGGAGCGACUAUAGAGAAAAUAAU